GGCCUCGUGAGGCUCCGUCAGAGAGGCCGGCGUAUAAUUAAGGUGCUCUCUCGCUGUGAUAGCUCUUCUAUUUUUAAUGGGCACUGAUGGACCCGUCAAAGUAUUAAAAAUGUUUUGUUUUUUUCCCCCAAUUUUUCAUUUUCUCGGCAGCGAUAGCGCGGGCAGCUUGCAGUGACCCAGGGCUGAAGCGCUCAGGCGGUGUCGCGCUGCUGUGGUGGCAGUGGUGGCGCCAGGCCUGGGCUGCACGCGGUGGGGGGCGGCUGAGGUCACACCGCCUCUGGGCUGAGGGGCAGAGCAGCUGCAGCCCGGAUGAGCAGCUUUUAGUGUCCUCACCUCGUGCCGGUGCCGUUAUCUGGCCCGUCACCUCCGCCAUUUGCUCCGAAGCCACCAGUUUAGCUGUAGCAGACCCAUCUUGCCCAACUGGUGUGCAGUAAUUUCAGAGCAAGGGAAGGGAAGUGCGGCCGCUCGGCUGAGGCUGCCACAGAGCGGGUGCUGGAUCAGACAUUGUGAGUCUCCAGGUUUCACAGAGGAGCUGCCCAGAAGGGAACUCACAGCAGAGAAGAUUGCUCUGUUGUGUGGAGCCACAGGGGCACUGUGCUUCUGCCCCUGCUCUGCAGGAACCCUGACAGCACCAACACAGUGAAGGAAGCUGUCUCCUUGAGCUGAGCUCCAUCCGGCUGUUUUGGGAACACAGGUUGCUCAAAUAAAAAUAAAUGGCUUUGGCACGACCGCAGAAGUGAUGUUAGUGCAUCCCCUGCACAGCCCGUCAGCUGCCUCCUACUUCAGCGAUCCCACUGCAGUUCUGGAUGCAGAGGUUAGCCUUUGUUCUUCAUCUCUCUACAUGCUGAAGAAACUGCAAGGUGGCCAAACCAACAAACUCACAACUGGAUCAGUGCAGUGGAAAGAGCAGAAUUUUAAAUUACAAAUGUGCACAGGAGCUACAGAAAAACAGAGGUCAGAUGUGAAACACAUCCGUUACAGUCAUUUUGUCCUAACGGAGGGAUUGCUCCCACUCCUAUGAGGUAAGCUCAUGUGACAAUGAUGGGGUGCAGGGCAGGGCAGCAGUGGCACACUGCAGGCGGAUGGUGCAGGUAGGGCAGGCACCCACGCCUUUGCUCAUACCAAGAAAUGCCAUCAGAGUCCGUGCUGCAGCUGAGCAGGCUGUACCUGCCUCCUAUCUGCUUACGCUAAAACAUUUGCUCUGUUCUUUUUAUUUUCUGGUUACCUCUGCCAAAGAGAGAGGAAUUUACUUUGUACCGCUGUGGUCCAGCCUCUCUCACCAGUGCAGAAAGCUGAGCCCUGGGGCCAGGUGCACAGCUCCAGCUCUGCUGGCCAUGGUGAGGCCCCAGCACCGACAGAGGUCACGCAGGGCAAGCAUAGCAGAACUCCCAAGUUCUGCUCCCAGCUGUGCCAUCCUGCAGCAGUGCAGCAGGACAAGAGGUUGCUGCCAUUCACUCCCCCAAGUCCCGCUGAACAGACAGAUGAGCCUGGACUGAUCCACAGCCACAGGUGAUUGGGUCCCCAAGUGCCAGUAAGUGACACCUUUCACAACUUGCAACAUGGAGUUGCACAUAUGGUUGUCACCAAGACUGUGACGCGACAGCAGACAGGGCUGCACACUGUGACUGAUGCUUUGUGUGGCCUUGGGCUGCUUCCACCAGGGUGAACACAGAAGCAGGAGCUCAGCUGCAGCCUCACACCACGGCCAGCAUGAGAGCUGCGUCAGGGCAGCCUGCACACUGAGACCAGAGUGCCCAGCACCCAAAGCACAGACAGCCACCCAGAAAAGUGACCUCAGAACCACUUCCCAAUGCACUGAAGUUAUUAAUUUUUUAAGUGCUCAGUAUCCUUGAAAAAGGAAUGAGGCCACUUCUGUUUAGGAAACUCACCUCAGGGACCCCAGUGCAAAUACCUCACAGGUUUGGUCUCAUGGAGACGAAAGUCUCUCAGCUGUGGCAUGAUCAAAGGAAAUACCUCAAGAAGUUCCUGAGAACACCACUGCUCGGCUCACUCACUGCUCAGGCCGCCUCAUACAUAUGCCUCACCAGCAGAGCUGGAGUAUUAUUAUCCAAUAUAAAAACCAGCUCGUUGUGAUGUGGUGUGCAAUUGCGGAACUCGAGAACUGUCCCCAUAGUGUGCUAUCUCAUAGACACCUAGACUGCGUAGAGAUUAUUUAGUUAUUAAGGUUUUAAUUAAAUCCUCGCAUGCAGACACAUGUGGCAAAGGGCUGCCUACUUAGCAACAGCAGGUUAUUAAGAUGAAUACGGGGUUUUUCUUUUUAAAGCUGGAAAUCAUUAACAAACACAAUCAACUCAGGUAGCUGAAGCACCUAGUACGUUCUUGGAAAAAAUACAGCAGUGUGUGCAGGAGCACAGCAGCUGCUGAAGCUCGUGGUUUCUGCUCGUGUUCCUGGGCAGCACGCUGGACAGACCACCACACUGGACAGACCACCACCAGCCCCCACGCUUGCUCACUGCUCAGAUUUGCCCUCACUGCCACAGAGCCCAGCCCUGAGGAGCUGAGUGCGGGGAGGUUCUGCCCUGGAGACGGCGGGCAGGACAAGCAGCCCCUUCCUGCACCAGGAGGGCGAUGCAGCAGAUCCGAUCCCGGCAGUGAGCGCUCAGACCACUGCUGCUGGGAUGGAGGCUGCUGCCAGUAGCAGUGAGCCUUCCCAGCAUGUUUCACAUCUGUCCUCUGCUGCAAACAGAACGUUCAUUGAAGCAGCAGAAGCUGUGAAAUGAGUAACAAACCUCUUUAGACAUCUCUGGACUCUUCAGAGGAGGGAAAACACGUCAGGAGCCUUCAUAGCACUGUAUUUCUUUAAGUACAUCUCCAUAUUUGCAAUGCUGCAGUGCCCCAUCUCUGUUUCAGACCUGCCAUGGGCAGCAGCUAGCAGACUUCUGGCAGGCAGGACAUCACCUCAUGGAAUACACAGCAGAGCACCACCUGAAGGGUGGCAGUGUGCACACAAACCACUGUGCCCAGCUGCUCCUCGCACACCACGACUCUGUGCAAUUCCCUUUGCUUCCCUAUCACCGGUGCAGCACACCAGACCCAACCAACUGCCCACAUCCCAACACAACCCUGAGACAAAGUGAUUUCUGGUGACGCGGGCUGCAGCCCGGUGCUUUGCAGGGCACGUGGCUCUGCUGGUGUGCUCUUCAGGGAAGGAUCUGAGCUCUCAACUCGAGCAAGAACCUUGCAAGGCCAGUCAGCCUUCCACAGCCCAUGUCUGCUAACACAGCAUCUCCAAGCACAGAUCGGAUCUGCUCCUCUGGCACACAUGGACACAGCUGCAAAUACUAUGCAUUUAUUUCUACGUACAUGAAUGCUACCUAGCCCCAUUAUCUUUCCUUAGAAACAUACAGUUAAUUCACUAACGUAUUCUACAAUUCUUAGGAUAAAACCUUAAAAACAAACCUAUCUGCACCACACAGAGAAAACUGACUGGAGAGGGCUGAAGGUGAAGGCCCAUCUUCUGUUUUCGAGUCUGACACUACAGGAUAUCUGAAGACAGAGUGCUUAUUCACAGACUGCAGUCGCUGACAUGACAAACCCAUAAGUGCAGCCAACACAUCCCCAUUUCCAAGCUCACGGCACAGCUGCAAGCACAAGCCCAGGUUGGUCCCUCAGCGCUACCCCCAUGCUGAGGACAGUGAGGGCAGCCUGGCAGAAGCCAGCAUCCCUGGUGCUGAAUUUCCACCAGCCCUGCGCCUGCCCACCACUGCAGUGAAGGUCUGGCCAUAAGUAUUUGCUCAAACCUAAAUGCCGUAAGGACCCCUUUCUUCAUGGCAAAGCUGAACUUGGGUUUUUCAGCACACGACUCCAGUCACGCUGCGUGCUGCCAGUUGCUCAGGAAGAAAGCUGCACUUGUGUAAGGGGGGAAUUCCCCUGGAAACACUAAGGAACAGAACCUGGCAUAAUGGGCUCUCGCAGCUCAAGUGCUCUAACGACCAUCAUAAAGCUGAAGGGCUGCAAAGGACACCAGGGGAGGGCUGUUUGUAUCGGAAUGGAAAGCAGCGUCAGUCACAGCACACCUGCCACCCCAAAUCACGUCAGCUGUAGCUUCGUGUACCAGCGUGGUUUAAAUCUCAGUGCACAACUAAGAAUUAAGGCAAAAAUUAUUCUUUCUUUCUCUUUUGCAGAAAUUGCUGCUACUUUUAAGCUACAUUCUCCAUCUUCUUAACAUGGCUGCAGAACUGGAGUUCAAAGACUGGUAACAGAAUCUCAGUGGUUAAAUCAAAGUGAAACGUAUUGUUACUAAUUAUUUUAUAACAGUUAUUCCUACUGAACACCAAUGACAAGGUUUGUUUUUUUCCAUGCCAAUUCAGUGUUACUGUGCUGUAAUACAUUGGGCAGCAAAAGCAGACACACAGGACUGUAGAAUUCAUCCGCUCUGAACACCAGGAGAACUGUCAUUAAUUUCUCCCUGUGCAAUUAACCUGAACCACUUUCAUGACGGCUCGCAUUGCUUAUGAACAAGCCGGACUUCGUGUCCUCAGUUCUGCUUUUAAUGCCUCAGUGGAAGUUUAGACUUCAGUUAAUAUGGUGCUGCAUUUGCAGAUGUAAAUAAACAGAAGGUGGAGUUGAUCCCCAGGAUCUGGACGUGAGACCUGACCCACAUUUGAGAACAGAGAGCCAUUCUUCAGAGACUUUACAUCAGGAAUACGGUUAUUUACAGACUACAAGCACUUAGAAAAUAUUUAGCUUAUGCUUUGAAUAUUGAUGUGACGGUGGGUUUUUUUUUCCCCCUUCUGCAGGCUUAUUUAUUACUAUACAGAUUUACAAUUUUGCUUUUAAAUUAUUUAUAUACACAUGGCUCAAAGGGAGAGUCUACCACCAAGGAGAACAAUAACAAAUAGUUCUGUUCGUGGAUGGUGAAUUGCUCCUUGGCAUCACUCAUCCUUCUUUUGGAUUUACAACAUAAUAACAUUUUACUGUAGUUUUCUAUUUAAUAAUUUGUUUUGCGUGAACAUUCAUCAAAGUUUGACUUAAAGCAGUUCAUCCAAUUGAAAACAAUCAUUAAUUAACCAACUGCCUCGUGACACACGUUAAAAAUGGGAUGAUUCUACUCGCUAUAUUUCACCAACGGCCAAAACAGUUUCCAGCUGUUCCCUAUUUUUCUUCCCAGAAUCUGAGCAGACCUUUGGCACGUCUUUCUGAGAUGGUGGCAGGACGCAGGGGCACAUUUCACAUAGAGCUGAAAGGUCUGUUUGCCUUCAACUAUGAUGUAACGCCUAAAAUUUGAGUGGAGCUGGGACCCUGGCUGGUAGCAUCACCAGGCAUGUCUUUGUACUGCCUUCCAUGCAGGAACAGCCCACUUCCUUACACCGGCGUUCAAUUAAAUCCCUCCAACCUGGCAUUUGUUUCAGAGGUCAGAGACCAAACUGACCAUAAAGACUGAUUUAUUCUCUCAGUCUGGAGUCUUCAAACUGUGCUUGACAGAAAUUCUUUGAGAAGCUGCCCGUAAUGUCUUGCACCUGUGGAAGAAAUAGGAGUUUUCUAUGGGCUAUGGGUCAGGGAUCAUUGCAUGCAGCAGCCCCCUGGGCACAGCACAUUCUCUCACCAACGUAAAUUUGGAGCGCUUCCACCGAAUUGAAUUUACCAAACUUCGGGGCUAAGAGCUACUUACAAGUUUUUCUAAUUAAAAAGACACCAUUAUUAAAGUCACCACACACUUUCUGAAGUGAAGAGACAAUAAGCUGCACCGCAUUGGAAUUACUGCACAGUUUGAGACUUGCUCUUUCAGGUGCACCAUCCUGACGUGCUGCGUUCCUCACCAUGCCAUCAUUUCACAUCUUUCCCAUCACACCAGCUGUACCACCUGCCUGCCCCCUCUCUUCUGACACCCACUACUGUAUGCAGACCUCUACAUAGAAAUGAACUGCCAAAAUAUCCCGUAAGUGACAGCUGCUCCUAAUUCUGCAAAGUCUCCAGGUUUAGGUAAUUCAAGUGAGAUUUGUAUUUUCAUUGGGAGUGUACAGCCCUCGUGGAAUGAACGUGAUCUGACACCUACCUGUACCCGUAUCCGCGUAGCUGCUGACUGAACAGUGCCUGUGCAGGGAAUGCAGCACAGGCUCAAUAACUCUAAAGAGACUGCAGCACAACACCCAUUUCCAGCACCGGUAGAAAAACAAGGAUAUUUCUGUAGCAAUUCUUUGUAGCAGUCUGGUUCUUAAGUUUCUUUGUUCUUGUUACAUCUGUGCAAAGCCCAUCUAGGAUAGAAGUUCAGUGUUUCAGUGGUAAUCCACGGCACAGGUGGCAGGGAUGGCACGAGAACUGCAGCGCUCAGAGGCCUGACAGCGCUGUUAUGGAGCCCAGGGGAAUCCUGUUUAGUUGUGAAACAGCCUUUCCCAGCAACUUGGGAGCUCCUGCUGACAUGCUUGAGCCCUCUUGAAGACCCCGAAGCCCCUGCCUUAACAACUGUAUGUAAAACAGGUCACAUACAUCAUGCAGUUACAGACGAGUUAGAAAACCAAAAUCAGACUGCAAGGAGAAGAGUGUGGCAAUGCAAGGAAAUGAUGCAGAAAGCAAAGUUUGGUUCUGAUAGGAAACUGAAGAAAACCAUUUCUGCUGCAGUUUUGAUUUCCUCAAGUCCUGCAGGGCUGUGCUGGAAGCCAGCCUGCGAGUGCCUGCGGGACAGGAGCCGGGUCCGUGCUGCUCAUGGCACUUCAAUUACUCAAGUGGAUUUUGGAUCACGUUAGAGCCCAUUUCAACAGAACCGCAUUAAGGCCACUAACAAACAGAAGGAGCACUCCUUUCCCUCAGCGUUCCCACUUCCCUUCAGUAGCAGCCAAAGCCCCGCAGAGCUGCCAGUCUUACUGGUGCUCCUGAAGCCCCCGUGCCAUGACCAAGGAGCAGAGGUGGCACACUGACUGCUGAUGGGGCAGCAGCCAGGCUGGGUCAUGUGGCACCACAUCCCCAACUGCACAGAGCUUAAUUUCUCUCUGAGAAAUUAAGGAAGAGCUUCACAAAAACACCUGCACUGAUUUAUAACGAGCUGCAAAAGCUGCUACAGACUGCGCCAGGGCAGAAGAUGAAGGUGCUCUGAAUACUGAGAAAGAGUCAUUUAUUCUAUAUAGAUUAUAGAGCCUAAAUCCUUUAUAUUGGUCUGAAUGUAAAUAAGCCAGUAGUUUUCCUCUGGUGACAUGCAGCUGGUCUCUACUUUGUCGCACAUUCCUAUAAACACAUUUCUGCCUUGCUAUCUGUGAUCUCUGCUCAGUGGGAAGUAAAGACACCAAAUAUCUGAUUAAUUGGACCUGAAACGUGCAACUGUGAAUUUGUUUCACUCCUGAAUUUCCCGCACCUCCAGGAUCUGAACCCAACUGAACAGAACCGAGUACCAUUAAUUUACUCCUUGGCACUUGAAUAAUGGGAUACAACAUUCUUCGUAAUGUGAUUAGGUGAAAAAUGAAUUUUGAGCUAAAACAUGCAGAAAAAUAACUAACUGCAUUAGUGGUAGCUGAGCAGUAAAUCAGCAUCCAGCCCUGCACAUCCUUCUUCAGCACUACGAUGGGAGCAGUUCCACCGCAUCCCAAUGCAACAGCCAACAGCAAAACCACAACUCAGAUUACCCACAUCACGAGGCUGACUAUGAGUGCUGGGGUUGAGGUUCCAGCCAUUGAGUGUCAAGCCUGGGCCGCAUUCUCAGGUUUUUCAUUGUAAGCAGGGGAACCAAAAAGCCACACUGCAUAAAGCGUGCAAGCUAAGUAGUAAUGCAGCCACGGACUUCUGAAAGUCAACACUUCAAGACUUGGAAUAGAGACCACAGUAGAUGGAAACCACGUAUUUCACGUUCUGUGGAUGUGACGCCAGCUGUAAAUAUCUGCAACCCCAAAGUAAAGAGCAAGAUGUGAUAGUUCUCA